UGUCUUUUGACUUUGUAUCACAGGCAGUCUCAGUGGGACAUAACUGCAUCUUGGGCUUCUUGGAAUAGGACCAGAACUAAAUUUCUAUUUAGCAGCGGGGAACCCGGCGGGGAUGUGGGGAAACACAGGGGAAGUAAGGAACAUUUUGACUCCAACUGGCUUGAUCUAGUGUUGUUUAGCUGUUCUAACCAAGCAGAAACAUCCGUGACCCAGGCCUGGUCGCACAUGUCUGCCCUGCCGUCUUGCCUGCGAGCUGGAUGCACAAUGAUUACUACAAGUUCAAGGUCAGCCGAGGACUCCCAGGCCAAGCAGGUCUAUACACUGAGACCCUGCGUCAGCAAGUCAAGGAAAUCAAGCCAAAAAGUGUGGCAGUACACACCUCCCAACGCUCACUCCCACAUCUGAGGCAGGAGGAUCACAUGUUCCAGGCUUGAACUACAGAGCAAGACCCUGUCUCAGACAUUAAAAAGGAAAACGGAUGUGAGGCUGUAGCUGAGGUCUCAGGUUCAUCCCUGGCCUGGAGAAAUGGCACAGGUCUGUCACCCCGACACUCGGAAAGUGUACCCAAGCUUAUCCUGGGCUAGGCUUCAAGUUCAAGGGUAGUCUGGGCUCCACAAGACGCCUCCUUUGCUCAGAGACCCAUUUAUUCCUCCUUGUGGGUCCUGCCGACCAAGAGCUAAGACAGAGCAUGUGUGCAGGGAGUUGUUGCCACCCGAGAGGCUGAGACAAGCCAAGCCACCCCCCCCCCCCGCCCAGCAGAUGGAGCAGAAGCCUCAAGGCUUUCUUGUGAUCACUGGGGAAACAUGAAGAACACAGCUUCCAGAUUGCUCAGCGGUUAAGAGCACUGACUGCUCUUCCUAGAGGUCCUGAGUUCAAAUCCCAGCAACCACAUGAUGGCUCACAAUGGGAUCCAAUGCUCUCUUCUGGUGUGUAUGAAGACACAGACCGACAGUGUAUUCAUAUAA
rnacentral:lncRNA from 1 species